rnacentral:rRNA from 1 species
GAUGAACGCUAGCUACAGGCUUAACACAUGCAAGUCGAGGGGCAGCAUUUUAGUUUGCUUGCAAACUGAAGAUGGCGACCGGCGCACGGGUGAGUAACACGUAUCCAACCUGCCGAUAACUCCGGGAUAGCCUUUCGAAAGAAAGAUUAAUACCGGAUAGUAUACGAAUAUCGCAUGAUAUUUUUAUUAAAGAAUUUCGGUUAUCGAUGGGGAUGCGUUCCAUUAGUUUGUUGGCGGGGUAACGGCCCACCAAGACUACGAUGGAUAGGGGUUCUGAGAGGAAGGUCCCCCACAUUGGAACUGAGACACGGUCCAAACUCCUACGGGAGGCAGCAGUGAGGAAUAUUGGUCAAUGGGCGCGAGCCUGAACCAGCCAAGUAGCGUGAAGGAUGAAGGCUCUAUGGGUCGUAAACUUCUUUUAUAUGGGAAUAAAGUUUUCCACGUGUGGAAUUUUGUAUGUACCAUAUGAAUAAGGAUCGGCUAACUCCGUGCCAGCAGCCGCGGUAAUACGGAGGAUCCGAGCGUUAUCCGGAUUUAUUGGGUUUAAAGGGAGCGUAGGUGGAUUGUUAAGUCAGUUGUGAAAGUUUGCGGCUCAACCGUAAAAUUGCAGUUGAAACUGGCAGUCUUGAGUACAGUAGAGGUGGGCGGAAUUCGUGGUGUAGCGGUGAAAUGCUUAGAUAUCACGAAGAACUCCGAUUGCGAAGGCAGCUCACUAGACUGUCACUGACACUGAUGCUCGAAAGUGUGGGUAUCAAACAGGAUUAGAUACCCUGGUAGUCCACACAGUAAACGAUGAAUACUCGCUGUUUGCGAUAUACAGUAAGCGGCCAAGCGAAAGCAUUAAGUAUUCCACCUGGGGAGUACGCCGGCAACGGUGAAACUCAAAGGAAUUGACGGGGGCCCGCACAAGCGGAGGAACAUGUGGUUUAAUUCGAUGAUACGCGAGGAACCUUACCCGGGCUUAAAUUGCAACAGAAUAUAUUGGAAACAGUAUAGCCGUAAGGCUGUUGUGAAGGUGCUGCAUGGUUGUCGUCAGCUCGUGCCGUGAGGUGUCGGCUUAAGUGCCAUAACGAGCGCAACCCUUAUCUUUAGUUACUAACAGGUUAUGCUGAGGACUCUAGAGAGACUGCCGUCGUAAGAUGUGAGGAAGGUGGGGAUGACGUCAAAUCAGCACGGCCCUUACGUCCGGGGCUACACACGUGUUACAAUGGGGGGUACAGAAGGCGGCUACCUGGUGAUAGGAUGCUAAUCCCAAAAACCUCUCUCAGUUCGGAUCGAAGUCUGCAACCCGACUUCGUGAAGCUGGAUUCGCUAGUAAUCGCGCAUCAGCCAUGGCGCGGUGAAUACGUUCCCGGGCCU